rnacentral:rRNA from 1 species
CAGUCGCCGCGGGAAUACGUAGGGUGCUAGCGUUAAUCGGAAUUACUGGGCGUAAAGCGUGCGCAGGCGGUGAGUUAAGUCUGCUGUGAAAUCCCCGGGCUCAACCUGGGAAUGGCAGUGGAUACUGGCUCGCUAGAGUGUGUCAGAGGAUAGUGGAAUUUCCGGUGUAGCAGUGAAAUGCGUAGAGAUCGGAAGGAACAUCUGUGGCGAAGGCGACUAUCUGGGCCAACACUGACACUGAGGCACGAAAGCGUGGGGAGCAAACAGGAUUAGAUACCCCUGUAGUCCCUGUCUCUUAUAC